CUCCCUGUAGCUCAGGUGGAUAGAGCAACGGUUUCCUAAACCGUGUGUCGCAGGUUCGAGUCCUGCCAGGGAGACCA
rnacentral:tRNA from 1 species